AAAGGCACGGGGCAGAUUCUUCCCUGCAGCUUCAGGGGGCAGCCACACCAACACCGUGACUUCAGGUUUGCAGCUCCCAGUACUAAGCUGUAUGAAUUCAC